rnacentral:rRNA from 1 species
AUUGAACGCUGGCGGCAGGCCUAACACAUGCAAGUCGAGCGGAUGAAGGGAGCUUGCUCCUGGAUUCAGCGGCGGACGGGUGAGUAAUGCCUAGGAAUCUGCCUGGUAGUGGGGGAUAACGUCCGGAAACGGGCGCUAAUACCGCAUACGUCCUGAGGGAGAAAGUGGGGGAUCUUCGGACCUCACGCUAUCAGAUGAGCCUAGGUCGGAUUAGCUAGUUGGUGGGGUAAAGGCCUACCAAGGCGACGAUCCGUAACUGGUCUGAGAGGAUGAUCAGUCACACUGGAACUGAGACACGGUCCAGACUCCUACGGGAGGCAGCAGUGGGGAAUAUUGGACAAUGGGCGAAAGCCUGAUCCAGCCAUGCCGCGUGUGUUAAGAAGGUCUUCGGAUUGUAAAGCACUUUAAGUUGGGAGGAAGGGCAGUAAGUUAAUACCUUGCUGUUUUGACGUUACCAGCAGAAUAAGCACCGGCUAACUUCGUG